AGCAGCCGCGGUAAUUCCAGCUCCAAUAGCGUAUAUUAAAGUUGUUGCAGUUAAAAAGCUCGUAGUUGAAUUUCGGGGUUAGUAGAUUGGUCAUGCCUCUGGUAUGUACUGGUCUCACUGAUUCCUCCUUCCUGAUGAACCUUAAUGCCAUUAAUUUGGUGUUUUGGGGAAUUUGGACUGUUACUUUGAAAAAAUUAGAGUGUUUAAAGCAAGCUAACGCUUGAAUACAUUAGCAUGGAAUAAUGAAAUAGGACGUUCGAUCCUAUUUUGUUGGUUUCUAGGAUUGACGUAAUGAUUAAUAGGGAUAGUUGGGGGCAUUAGUAUUCAAUUGUCAGAGGUGAAAUUCUUGGAUUUAUUGAAGACUAACUACUGCGAAAGCAUUUGCCAAGGAUGUUUUCAUUAAUCAAGAACGAAAGUUGGGGGAUCGAAGACGAUCAGAUACCGUCGUAGUCUUAACCAUAAACUAUGCCGACUAGGGAUCGGAUGAUGUUAAUUUUUUUAAUGACUUCA
rnacentral:rRNA from 1 species